GUGGGGAAUAUUGGACAAUGGGCGAAAGCCUGAUCCAGCAAUGCCGCGUGAGUGAUGAAGGCCUUAGGGUUGUAAAGCUCUUUUACCAGGGAUGAUAAUGACAGUACCUGGAGAAUAAGCUCCGGCUAACUCCGUGCCAGCAGCCGCGGUAAUACGGAGGGAGCUAGCGUUGUUCGGAAUUACUGGGCGUAAAGCGCGCGUAGGCGGUUUAUCAAGUCAGGGGUGAAAUCCCGGGGCUCAACCCCGGAACUGCCCUUGAAACUGGUUCACUAGAAUCCUGGAGAGGCGAGUGGAAUUCCGAGUGUAGAGGUGAAAUUCGUAGAUAUUCGGAAGAACACCAGUGGCGAAGGCGACUCGCUGGACAGGUAUUGACGCUGAGGUGCGAAAGCGUGGGGAGCAAACAGGAUUAGAUACCCCGGUAGUCC
rnacentral:rRNA from 1 species